rnacentral:misc_RNA from 1 species
GAUGAAGAACGCAGUGAAAUGCGAUACGUAGUGUGAAUUGCAGAAUUCCGUGAACCAUCAAAUCUUUGAACGCAUAUUGCGCUCGAGGCUUCGGCCGAGAGCAUGUCUGCCUCAGCGUCGGUAUUACCCCUCGCUUCUCAACCCCUGGUUGAUGCCUGCCUGCCUUUGCAGUUGGCUAGAAGCGGAUCUGGCUUUCCCAAUUGCCUUUGGUAGUUGGGUCAGCUGAAGCACAGAGGCUUGAGCAAGGACCCUUAUUGGGCUUCACCUGGAUAGGUAGAACUGGUCUUAGGACCAACUACACGAAGUUGUUGCUUGUGGUCUUUGUCUGGAGGCCAGCAGGAAACCUUUAUACCUUCGACCUGAGCUCAGGCAAGAUUACCCGCUGAACUUAAGCAUAUCAAUAAGCGGAGGA